AUUGAACGCUGGCGGCAGGCCUAACACAUGCAAGUCGAGCGGAUGAAGGGAGCUUGCUCCUGGAUUCAGCGGCGGACGGGUGAGUAAUGCCUAGGAAUCUGCCUGGUAGUGUUGGAUAACGUCCGGAAACGGGCGCUAAUACCGCAUACGUCCUGAGGGAGAAAGUGGGGGAUCUUCGGACCUCACGCUAUCAGAUGAGCCUAGGUCGGAUUAGCUAGUUGGUGGGGUAAAGGCCUACCAAGGCGACGAUCCGUAACUGGUCUGAGAGGAUGAUCAGUCACACUGGAACUGAGACACGGUCCAGACUCCUACGGGAGGCAGCAGUGGGGAAUAUUGGACAAUGGGCGAAAGCCUGAUCCAGCCAUGCCGCGUGUGUGAAGAAGGUCUUCGGAUUGUAAAGCACUUUAAGUUGGGAGGAAGGGCAGUAAGUUAAUACCUUGCUGUUUUGACGUUACCAACAGAAUAAGCACCGGCUAACUUCGUG
rnacentral:rRNA from 1 species